rnacentral:rRNA from 1 species
UGGGGAAUCUGCGCAAUGGGCGAAAGCCUGACGCAGCCAUGCCGCGUGAAUGAUGAAGGUCUUAGGAUUGUAAAGUUCUUUUCGCCUGUGACGAUGAUGACGGUAACAGGAGAAGAAGCCCCGGCUAACUUCGUGCCAGCAGCCGCGGUAAUACGAAGGGGGCUAGCGUUGUUCGGAAUUACUGGGCGUAAAGCGCGCGUAGGCGGCUUUGCAAGCCAGAGGUGAAAUGCCUGAGCUCAACUUAGGAAUCGCCUUUGGGACUGCGAGGCUUCGAGGACUGGAGAGGUGAGUGGAAUUCCCAGUGUAGAGGUGAAAUUCGUAGAUAUUGGGAAGAACACCAGUGGCGAAGGCGGCUCACUGGCCAGUUUCUGACGCUAAAGUGCGAAAGCGUGGGGAUCAAACAGGAUUAGAUACCCACGUAGUCCCUGAGCGGGCUGGCAAGGCGCAU